AUGGAGCAAAUUUCAGAAGGUUUAGAGGUGAAUGUUUCCAAUCAGAGAAAAGGAAACUCUGGAAGAAAGCCAAAGAACAUCAAUUUAGAGCAAAUCCCUACUCUUCCACUAAACAAGAGGUCCACUAUCAGAUCUCUAGCUUGGCAACUGGGAUGUAGCCCUACCACACUGCAUAGAAACUUCAAGCUG
rnacentral:rRNA from 1 species